rnacentral:rRNA from 1 species
GAUGAACGCUAGCGAUAGGCUUAACACAUGCAAGUCGAGGGGCAGCAUGGUCUUAGCUUGCUAAGACUGAUGGCGACCGGCGCACGGGUGCGUAACGCGUAUGCAACUUGCCUCACAGAGGGGGAUAACCCGUCGAAAGACGGACUAAUACCGCGUACACUCUAUUUUGGGCAUCCAAGGUAGAGGAAAUGAAAUUCGCUGUGAGAUAGGCAUGCGUCCCAUUAGCUAGUUGGUGAGGUAACGGCUCACCAAGGCGACGAUGUGUAGGGGAACUGAGAGGUUGAACCCCCACACUGGUACUGAGACACGGACCAGACUCCUACGGGAGGCAGCAGUGAGGAAUAUUGGUCAAUGGGCGAGAGCCUGAACCAGCCAAGUCGCGUGAAGGAUGACUGUCUUAUGGAUUGUAAACUUCUUUUGUAGGGGAAUAAAGAGGGGCACGUGUGCCCCAGUGAAUGUACCCUACGAAUAAGCAUCGGCUAACUCCGUG